GAAAUGCGAUAAUUAAUGUGAAUUGCAGAAUUCAGUGAAUCAUCGAGUCUUUGAACGCACAUUGCGCCCCCUGGUAUUCCGGGGGGCAUGCCUGUCCGAGCGUCAUUGCUGCCCUCAAGCACGGCUUGUGUGUUGGGCUUCCGUCCCUGCCAACGGGGACGGGCCCAAAAGGCAGUGGCGGCACCAUGUCUGGUCCUCGAGCGUAUGGGGCUUUGUCACCCGCUCCCGUAGGUCCAGCUGGCAGCUAGCCUCGCAACCAAUCUUUUUAACCAGGUUGACCUCGGAUCAGGUAGGGAUACCCGCUGAACUUAAGC
rnacentral:misc_RNA from 1 species